rnacentral:rRNA from 1 species
GACGAACGCUGGCGGCGUGCCUAACACAUGCAAGUCGAGCGGUAAGGCCCUUUCGGGGGUACACGAGCGGCGAACGGGUGAGUAACACGUGGGUGACCUGCCCUCAGCUCUGGGAUAAGCCUGGGAAACCGGGUCUAAUACUGGAUAUGACUCCAUGACGCAUGUUGUGGGGUGGAAAGCCUUGUGCGGCUGAGGAUGGGCCCGCGGCCUACCAGCUUGUUGGUGGGGUGAUGGCCUACCAAGGCGACGACGGGUAGCCGGCCUGAGAGGGCGACCGGCCACACUGGGACUGAGACACGGCCCAGACUCCUACGGGAGGCAGCAGUGGGGAAUCUUGCGCAAUGGGCGAAAGCCUGACGCAGCGACGCCGCGUGAGGGAUGACGGCCUGGUGUAACU